ensembl:snoRNA
AGGUCAUUGCAAAGAGGGCUGAUGGGACCAAAUCCAGGAACUCUUAAUGCUGUGACCAAAGACUGAGUUUUCCAUAGGAUGUAACAGCCACUCAGUGGUGCUAUGUAUUCCUGAUAGAGAUACAAGA